UUCCAGACUCCUACGGGAGGCAGCAGUGAGGAAUAUUGGUCAAUGGCCGGAAGGCUGAACCAGCCAAGCCGCGUGAAGGACGAAGGUGCCAAGCAUUGUAAACUUCUUUUGUCAAGGGACAAAAUCAGGCUCGAGAGCCUGACCGAGGGUGCUUGAAGAAAAAGCAUCGGCUAACUCCGUGCCAGCAGCCGCGGUAAUACGGAGGAUGCGAGCGUUAUCCGGAUUUAUUGGGUUUAAAGGGUGCGCAGGCGGCCCGUUAAGUCAGCGGUAAAAGCCCGGGGCUCAACCCCGGCGGGCCGUUGAAACUGGCGGGCUGGAGUUGGAGAGAAGUACGCGGAAUGCGCGGUGUAGCGGUGAAAUGCUUAGAUAUCGCGCAGAACCCCGAUUGCGAAGGCAGCCUGCCGCAGCGUUACUGACGCUGAAGCUCGAAAGCGCGGGUAUCGAACAGGAUUAGAUACCCGAGUACG
rnacentral:rRNA from 1 species